rnacentral:lncRNA from 1 species
UUUUUUUUUGUGAGACAUAAUCCGUGUGUAGCUUGUUGGCUUUGUUAGAUUCCUUCAUGCUGAGAUGACCCAAAGGACUGGAAAUGGAUUUGUGGCCCAUGAGUUUUUUUCGUCAGGGAGUUGGGCUGAAUUUGGCAUUUGGCGGAUUUGGGUAACGAAAAUCCAUCUCUGCACCCGAGCAUGUACCACAACAUCCUACUCUAACUAGUUUUCUUAUUAUAUUCUCAAAAAGAAAGAGAUGGAAACUCUGAGGAACAUGUACCACAACAUCCUGAGCAUCUGUUGCAUUUCAGUAUCUGAAACGAAAAAUGCCGGAACAAUUUAUGAAAUAUUUCAAAGUUCUCUGGUUUAGCUUCUUAGUCUGGCUGGUUGUUCCACGACGACACUGCAUACAUACUAAAUUUUGAGAAGCUACGAGGCAUCGCUUUCACGAAGGGAAGACAUAGAACAGUCAUCACUGUUCCAAUGUUACCGGAUUUUCGUACAGCAAGAGCAUGCUGCACUCCACUGAUCUGCCAAUUUGCCAUGAUCUGCACCAAAGAACCAGAUAACCAAACAUGGUAGAAUCAAGUCAUGACAGUAGUAUCCUCCAAGACACAGCAUCAGGUCAUAACAUCAUCACUACAUCAGCCCUAAACCCUCCACCAAACAAUAUCAUGGUCUCACUGACAAGCUAUCUUCAGUCUCCCACCAGAACGGAAUACCAUCAUCAUCAUCACAAAGGUUCUCUUCCUACCACCACUACUAAGAGAAAAUGUGCCAAGAAACAAGACACCCAAAACCAAGGGUCGGUGCAGGAGGGGUGCCUUGUGUCUCCUCUGGUCACGCCAUGAGGUACAGAGCGAGGAGCGAGCAGCAGGCCAGGAUCACCACCCGCCUCGCGGUUCCGGCCACCGGGAGAACGUCGGCGCCGCCGCUGGUGUCCUUCUGGGCGCCGUUCGGACCUUGCGCCAUCGGCGGCGGCGGGCUGUCAGGAGCACUGAACAAACAAAAAAACACACACACAAUGCAUGAGUUGUGCUCAACCAUUUACAAGGAGUUAUUUACUGCUGUAAAAGGGACCAGAACGGACUAAUCGAAACGGCUAGGACUCCCUUCACACCUAAUGGCCUGCUAAUUUGCGAGGGCUAGUUUCAAAAGGAGCGUAUAGGAUUCCCCUCAAAAGAGUCCAGGAUGACACCAGUUGUGCACCGAUGAUGCAGCCAAAUGUGGGAAAAGGAGGGGAACCCCACGCGCAUAGGGUUUCCCCAGCCAAGUAACGGACACACCGCCCCACAGCGGAUGCUAUCACAUGGCAGCAGCCACCAAAUAUAUCCUGUGAUUAUUGCUGGUCAAUGACCCAAUGAGGCAAGGCAAUGAGGCAAUGGACCAUUGCUGGGCUGCAAUGGCGUCUUGUGAAGCCGGCCAAAAGCAUGCUAGUGAAUGAUGGUGUACUACUGGACCGGAGUUGUAAGUAAUAAAAGAGAUGUGCAUGUGACAUCUCAUUUUGUACUUAAUAAAUGUUCGGGAUUGCGAUCCGUUUGGUAGCUAGUAAAUGGGCGAAAUGCUGCUGGCUGUAAAGGGUUUUCUGGGGGUAGCAAUGAAACUGAAAGAAGACUGAAAUAAUGUUCAACAAUCCUCCUACACCUUACUAGUAAUAGUUCUUAGAUGUGAUGUCUAUUUUCUCAAGAAGAAAAGAGAGGACGAUGAACUCUGCAAAAAUAGUGUAGCAGAUCAGCAAGGAGGUGCAUUACCUUGGGGUCGCAGGGUACUUGCAGCCGUUGGUGCCUGCAAGAAAACGGAGCAUCGUCAGAAAUCUUGAACUGUGCGAUUGGGGCCGUAGGGAAGGAAAGGAAGGAGGAAACGGUGAGUGAGUGGAUGAGUAGGUGGGUACUUGGGUCGGUGGAGGAGAUCACGGCGGUGCUGGAGAAGACGCAGGCGAGCGGGUUCUGGCCGCUGCGCUGGUAGUAGCUGUUGACGGCGUAGGAGCAGUG